rnacentral:rRNA from 1 species
UACGUAGGGGGCAAGCGUUGUCCGGAUUUAUUGGGCGUAAAGCGCUCGCAGGUGGUUCGUUGCGUCGUGCGUGAAAGACCCUGGCUCAACUGGGGGAUGUCGUGCGAUACGGGCGGACUGGAGGCCAGUAGGGGGAUGCGGAAUUCCGGGUGUAGUGGUGGAAUGCGUAGAGAUCCGGAGGAACACCAGCGGCGAAGGCGGCAUCCUGGACUGGUCCUGACACUCAUGAGCGAAAGCGUGGGGAGCGAUCCGG